CUGUGCUAGAUGGGAAGAUAGCGGCCUCCUAUAACCUGCAAUCCGCUAUAGCAGGGUCGAAGUCCUCUUGGAGGCAUAUUAGUUGUAGGGCUGGCUUUAGUAAGUGGCAAUGAUGGUUGGGUCCUACGCAACGGGAACUUACAAACCCCGUCAGGUCCGGAAGGAAGCAGCGGUAAGUAAUCAUUUUCGUGUGCCGUAGGGCAACCUGGCUUGAGUUAACUGCUAGGGUAACGCCUAUGACUAUGUGUCGAAUUGAGGUGCACAG
rnacentral:SRP_RNA from 1 species